GAACCCGUGGCGCAGUGGUAGCGCGUAUGAUUCCAGCUCGCUUGAGUGACUCCAUAAGGUCAUCCGUUCAAUCCGGGUCGGGUUCA